AUGCUUCUCUACAUGAUUCAAUUGAAUAUGAUUUGGAACAAACUUCCAAAGUUACAUUCAUAUGCCUUGGCGAAAGACUCCCGAAUCAUAUCUUAGAGUAUUCUCCCUCCACCAUGGAAGGUCAAAGAUCCCUUGUUGUGUAUUCAUAUGCCUACAUGACUAGAUAGCUUGACCCUAACAAUGUUGCGAACACUCUUGAUGGAAUGUCUUUGACAUGAUCAAAGAUCAAAGACCCAACCAUUAGACAUCUAUGAUGCCUCAGGUCAAAGGACUACUUUGCAUAUUACAACUUACAAGUUCUUACAUGACAUGUAUGUUCGAACUCUCUUUUGAUCGUUGUUCAGUGUACUAGAUUACCUUUUGAGCACCUAUGUGUUUGUCUCAGUGUCCAACACUAGAUGACUUGAGACUAGUCAUACUCACGUUUGAGUUAACAUAACACAUAUUAACCUUAGCGGAUUGUCAAUGCCCAAAAGUGCAUGUCUGCUUGCCAAGCCUAGCCCCAAAGUGCAUGUUUCUCUACGGGUUCUUUUGAGCUACUAUCAAUUCUUUUUUAGGCUGCUUAGAUGCCUUGUCUAUUUGCCAAGCCUCACCUCAAAGUGCAUGUUUCUCUACCAAUACGAAAGAGUCUGUCAAAGUUAGAUCUUCUUUCAUGAUCAAUUCUCCAAACAGCGGGUGGUCUGCUGGGCACCCUUUUUGGAAGGCUGCAGUUGCUAUCGAGUUGUCGCAUCUGACUAUCUUCGCCUUCUUUACUUUGAAUCUCUUCAUGUAGUCGUGGAGCGACUUCUUUGGAUUCUUCUUCACAUUGAAAAAAUGAUCGAACUUCUUCUUGAUUGAGUGGUAGGAUAAGUAUUCUUUGGUGAAAGGCAAGGAAAGUUCAUCAAAACUAUGGAUGGAUCAUGGGGGUAGGGUGUGAAACUAAUAUUGCGCCUCGCCUUGUAACGUAGUGGUGAAUAUUUUGCACAUAAGAGCAUCGUUGUUAUAGUAAAGGACUAUUGUGCUUCGAUAGUGCUUCAAGUGUCUCUCCAGGUCUCUAUCUCCAUUGGAAGAUGUGAAAUGUGGCAUGCUAAACUUGCGUAGAGGCUCUGCCUACUCAAUCUCAUCCAUGAAGGGUAACCUACUCAUAUUGAUCAUGUUCCAUCGUAGCACCUCAUCAGUGACCUCAUUGCGCUGGAAAUCACGCAAUCGCUUAGUCAAUAGCCUCUCUACUCUUCUUGAAUUUGCCUUUGUUGGGGUAUCAGAGCUCUCAGCUGCCCCUGCUCUUUAUGUGAUGGUCUAGGCUGCUCUUCUAUAUGCUUGGCUUAUCUAUGCAACGGCGGCGAUGCAUGUGGUUCAUUCCUAGCAGACGAGGGAAUUACUUGUAAACUUGAGCCGGAUUGAGUGACUAUUUAUCUCCGUCCAUCAUGUUGCCUACUCUAAUGUGAAGUGGAAGAUGCUUUUUGUGGGCCUAGUAGUGAAUGAACAUUUUUCAUGAAGGGUUGGUUAUGUUGAUUAUCAGAGUGUGGUACCAACCGUGAGUGUACGCUUGUCCGUGG
rnacentral:lncRNA from 1 species